rnacentral:rRNA from 1 species
UACGUAGGGUGCAAGCGUUGUCCGGAAUUAUUGGGCGUAAAGAGCUCGUAGGCGGUUAGUCGCGUCUGCUGUGAAAACUCGGGGCUUAACCCCGGGCCUGCAGUGGGUACGGGCAGACUAGAGUGCGGUAGGGGAGACUGGAAUUCCCGGUGUAGCGGUGAAAUGCGCAGAUAUCGGGAGGAACACCGGUGGCGAAGGCGGUUCUCUGGGCCUUACCUGACGCUGAGGAGCGAAAGCGUGGGGAGCGAACAGG